GAUUCCACUGCCUCCACUCCACCCUUCGAGCUUCCAGCUCUCUUCCAUUCCCACCUCGCAUUUACCUUCGGAACCGCUGCACACCCUCUCUCAGGAACCUGGCAUCUCACACCCACGCCUCGAAAGACCCGCACCGAAGCUUCAAGAGGAUCAGCGUGUGAAGAUCACUUUAUAAUGAUUUGAAAAAGGUUGCCAUGGCUACAGAAAUUGGAGGAGCAUCCUUAGAUGACACAAUACAACCAGCUGUGCGAUUCCUCAUGUCCCAUGAACUGGAAGUCCAGUUCAACCUUUUUGGCCAACAUUGGAAACAAGCUCUUGGACCUGCGUCUCUUUGAUGUUUUGUAUGGGGACUUAAAAGAAAUUAUCCAUCUACAGAAUCACACAAGCAUACAGCAAAGACUCUCGAAGUGGUUUACUGGAGCCCGAGUGGAAGUGGAAAUAGACUAGAGAGACUGCCAGUUCAAACUCAGGUUGGGGAGGUCUUUCAAGAUGGACAGUUUCAGUAAAGUAUGAGAGAUUUCAAAUUUAAGCAUGCAUAUGGCAUGUAGGUUAUUUUUAAAAAUGUUUAACAAGAAUGUAUUG